AAAAUAAUCCUACCCUUUGUGAAUUUUGUUUGUUUGAAUAAUUUUUUUUUUAAAAAAUUAUUGGAGUCUUUCCCUUUAGAGUUUGCUUUUGAGUUUGUAAAAGAAUUCGAAAACAUCUAAAGGGGAUGGUCAAUAAUUUUUUUUGAAAAAAGACAUUUUUUAAAAUUAAACUUUUUGUAUUCAUUUGUCUAAAAAUUAUUUUUAUAAUAUAAAAACAACUUUUGACAAUGGAUCUCUUGGUUCUCGCAACGAUGAAGAACGCAGCAAAAUGCGAUAAGUAGUGUGAAUUGCAGAAUACGUGAAUCAUCGAAUCUUUGAACGCAUAUUGCACUUUUUUAGUUUACUAAAAAAGUAUGUCUGUUUGAGUAUCAGUAAAAUGUUCUCAUAAAAAUCAUUGUAUUUUUAUGGUUAUGAGUGUUUACAACGAUACAAGUUGUUUCACUUUAAAUUUUUUUUUAAUAUUGAAAUUUUUCUAAUUUUAAUAAUUAAAAUUGGAUAAAAUUUUCCCGUCAAAAGGAAUAACCUAAACAAUUUUAAACGAUUAAUUUUAGCAAAAUUUCGAAAAAAAGGAAAAUUUUUAUUAAAAUAACUUGAUCUCAAAUCAGAUAAGAGUACCCGCUGAACUUAAGCAUAUCAAUAAGCGGAGGAAAAGAAACUAACAAGGAUUCCCUUAGUAACGGCGAGUGAAGCGGGAAGAGCUCAAAUUUGAAAUCUUCAAGGUUUUACCUUGACGAAUUGUAGUUUAAAGAAGUGUUUUCUGCUGAAGUUUUGGUAAAAGUUCUUUGGAAUAGGACAUCAUAGAGGGUGAGAAUCCCGUAUUUGACCAUUAUUUUCAGCUUUGUGAUACACUUUCAAAGAGUCGGAUUGUUUGGGAAUGCAGUCCAAAAUGGGUGGUAAAUUUCAUCUAAAGCUAAAUAUUGGCGAGAGACCGAUAGCGAACAAGUACCGUGAGGGAAAGAUGAAAAGAACUUUGAAAGAGAGUUAAACAGUACGUGAAAUUGUCAAAAGGGAAGCGUUUGACACCAGUGUUGUUUUCUCGAAAAUCAAUUAAAAAUGGCUCGAUUUUGUAUUGCUUGAGACCUUAAAAGCUCACUGUACAUUUUUCGUGUCUUUUUUAAUGCACUUUUCGUUUAACAAGUCAACAUCAGUUUCUUUUGUUGUAAAAGGGUCAUUGGAAGGUGGCUUUCUUUUCGGAGAAAGUGUUUAUAGCCUUUGGCCUCUGCAAUCGGAGAGACUGAGGUCUGCAGCGUAGACUCUUCGGGGUUAGAUACAUUUGUGCUAAGUUAUAGCUUUUUAUAGACAACUUGUUGACUAUAAUUAGUCUUGUAGCUUACUCGCUUAUGCUAUUU
rnacentral:misc_RNA from 1 species